rnacentral:rRNA from 1 species
GAUGAACGCUGGCGGCGUGCCUAAUACAUGCGAGUCGAGCGAACGGACGAGAAGCUUGCUUCUCUGAUGUUAGCGGCGGACGGGUGAGUAACACGUGGAUAACCUACCUAUAAGACUGGGAUAACUUCGGGAAACCGGAGCUAAUACCGGAUAAUAUUUUGAACCGCAUGGUUCAAAAGUGAAAGACGGUCUUGCUGUCACUUAUAGAUGGAUCCGCGCUGCAUUAGCUAGUUGGUAAGGUAACGGCUUACCAAGGCAACGAUGCAUAGCCGACCUGAGAGGGUGAUCGGCCACCCUGGAACUGAGACACGGUCCAGACUCCUACGGGAGGCAGCAGUAGGGAAUCUUACGCAAUGGGCGAAAGCCUGACGGAGCAACGCCGCGUGAGUGAUGAAGGUCUUCGGAUCGUAAAACUCUGUUAUUAGGGAAGAACAUAUGUGUAAGUAACUGUGCACAUCUUGACGGUACCUAAUCAGAAAGCCACGGCUAACUACGUG